rnacentral:lncRNA from 1 species
GGAUGAUUGAUCGUGCCUGCCAGCCGCCUAAUAUCAUAAUUAACAAAGUUGCUGCUGUGUCUGAGAAGUUUAAUCGGAAAAAAAUUGCCGUCAGUAUGAUGCCAUUGUUGCCCACGAAGAUCAGAAGCGUUACAAAGUCGACUUUUGGACUAAUGAAGCUGCAGAACUAUGUGGGCAGAAUAAGAAAUAGUGGACCUGUGUGGCUUAU